CCGAGACUGUCGGAAGCCCAUCCAUGCCGCGUGUUCAGUAAAGGGGUGACCCAGCAUGUACCUCACGGGCUGAGCAACUUCCGGAUAAACAGGGAUACAGUCCGGAUACGUCCCAGAGGCAGGGAGGUGGCAACGUACAAGCCGCUGCACCUAAUGGGAAGGAAAAAUAGAAAAGGAGCCGACGCCAAGGCUGCCCCCACCUCAGCGAGAGGCGGCCCCCAGUCACUGAGACCAGGAGGUCCUACCUGCCGGCUCCAGAAAGCCAGGUGUGAGCCCUUAGCAGAGACACCGAUUCCCGGAACGCAGAGCCACGCUCUGUGGGUGUCGCAGAAGUGAAGUGAGCUCUGCAGAGGACCGGGACGCCUGGCUGGAAGAAGCGUCGUUUUCCUCCCACCUUCUCCAAGGAGUUGGACGGCUUCUCAAGCCCGAAGUGGCGGUCUGCGGGGUGCGGACUGGCUCACGCCGGCCUGUGGCCCCAGGACGGCACGAGCUCCGGGGGACACACUUCGGUCUGGUCCUUUCUUCGUCCUGGCCCCACUUCCAGCCCCAGGUGCAAAGCCUUAAAAUGACAUUUCCGUUGCUUUUCUUACGAAUGGCCAGGGAAGGUUCGAGAGAGGAAGCGGUGUGUGAUGAAGGUCGCACCGCUCGCUUUAUGCCCAAUCGCCAAGUUAAAAGAGGGCUAGCUCCUCAACACUUUGAAGCGGACACUCAGCCAAGAGCGCCCACUUCUGCUCAGUUUCUAGGAACACGGGCCUGUCUGGAUUCCAAGCCGACAGAUCUAACAGCAGGGGGUCCCAGAGGGCAAGCCACGUGACCAGCCAGCCAAGCCCACCUUCCAGAGCCUUGGCUGGUUCACCCCAUCGUCACACUAGUGUCCUCUCUCCUCAGGAAUUAGCCCCAUGGUCUCCCAAAAUAAAGGUUUAAAUCAGUU
ensembl:lncRNA